GCCCUAGUGGCCUAAUGGACAAGGCACUGGCCUCCUAAGCCAGGGAUUGUGGGUUCAAAUCCCAUCUGGGGUG
rnacentral:tRNA from 1 species